UAAUGUGAAAUUGCAGAAUUCAGUGAAUCAUCGAAUCUUCUGAACGCACCUUGCGCCCUUUGGCUAUUCCGAAGGGCAUGCCUGUUUGAGUAUCAUG
rnacentral:rRNA from 1 species